rnacentral:rRNA from 1 species
GUCAGGACGAACGCUGGCGGCGUGCUUAACACAUGCAAGUCGAACGAGAAUCGCAUGAAGGAGUAUUCGUACAACGGAGUGUGAGGACAGUGGCGGACGGGUGAGUAACGCGUGAGGAACCUGCCUUUCAGAGGGGGACAACAGUUGGAAACGACUGCUAAUACCGCAUAAUGCACGGAUAUCGCAUGGUAACCGUGCCAAAGAUUUAUCGCUGAAAGAUGGCCUCGCGUCUGAUUAGCUGGUUGGUGGGGUAACGGCCCACCAAGGCGACGAUCAGUAGCCGGACUGAGAGGUUGGCCGGCCACAUUGGGACUGAGAUACGGCCCAGACUCCUACGGGAGGCAGCAGUGGGGAAUAUUGGGCAAUGGGCGCAAAGCCUGACCCAGCAACGCCGCGUGAAGGAAGAAGGCUUUCGGGUUGUAAACUUCUUUUGUCGGGGACGAGUAGAAGACGGUACCUGACGAAUAAGCCACGGCUAACUACGUGCCAGCCGCUGC